GCCGAGAUAGCUCAGCUGGCAGAGCAUGUCAUUGGUAAUGACAAGGCCACGGGUUCGAAUCCCGUUCUCGGCU
rnacentral:tRNA from 1 species